rnacentral:lncRNA from 1 species
CUCCUGGCGUGCCAAGAAGGCCCACGAUGCAAACAGAUGUGACAUGUCAGAACAAGGAAGACUGGAGCAAAAGGGCAGCAAACCUAGGUUUGAAAGUCCUUUGAGAUGACGUUAGCGCUGGGUGCCCGUCAGCUGCACCGACCGGCCCAGGCCAACUGAGCGCCUUCCACUCCUAAUCGAAGCCGCGCGUGCGCUGCCUCUCAGCGGGGACACCCCGUGCCCUAACGAUGGAGUGAAAACCAGCCGCUUCCCGACG